GGCAACCUAGGAAUUACCACCAUUGCUAAAUAAGCAUGUGUCCCUAUUUGUGCCCGUCGUGGGACUCCCUUAGAUAAACCCCUUUGAGCUUACAUUAAGCCUUUUCUUUCAUCACCCUUAAAUCCUUAACCAUGAAGCUUAGUAUAGUUACAACCCUACCCUUUGUUCUAAGAACUUAGUGGAGCUAUCUUUUUGAGACAUACUACGUGGGUUUGGUGCUAAGGAUGAAAAUUGAGAAGAGGUGAAAGUUCAAGUGUGGGGGUAGACUUGUCCAUAAAGAAAAAAAAUAUGUGAAAGCCGUGAAAAAUGAAAAGAAAAGAAAAAAUUGUGUACGGCUAGAAAAGAAAAGAAAGAAAAAUGUUUAUGGAUUUUAGUCUCCCAUACUUAGUGAUUUUGGAGUUUACUUUGAACUGAAGGCCCACUACAGAAAAAUUUGGCCUUUGUCCAUUCCACUAUAGUUCUAGGGAAGUUUACAAUGAAGAUUUGGCCCAACAUGAAGACAUUAGGCCCUUUUAUGUUACCUCUAGGGAAAGUGACGUUUUUGAAAUGCCUUGGUGGAUUUCUUGAGGUCUCUACAUCUACAUGUGCUCUGCUAGGUUUUUAGGACACUUUGAUAAAUCCUUACCUUUCAUUUCUUUAAACCUUGAGCCUUAGCCCCAUUACAACCUUUGAGAAGACCUUCUUGAUCCUUAAGAUGGGACAGCCCUUGAUGUGGAGAUGAGUUACAAGAGUUGAACCUAUGGCUUGGGUCCAUCUGUGCAAAAAGAGUGGAUAUACCUUGUGA
rnacentral:lncRNA from 1 species